GCGUGUAGUUUUUAUGCUGUGAUAUGAUAAGAGACUAUAAAUAGAUUAUGACGUGUACUUAAUGUGCCUGUGUUGAGUGGCCUUACUUUAGCUCUGUACACUACGAGAAACAAACUAAACUUAUACACAAUCUCAGAGGCUAUUGAUGGCUUUGGUUAUGUAAAAUCUUCAAAGAUACAAAAAGGUAAAAAAAAAAA
rnacentral:sRNA from 1 species